GAUGAACGCUGGCGGCGUGCUUAACACAUGCAAGUCGAGCGAAGCGAUUUUGAUGAAGUUUUCGGAUGGAAUUAAGAUUGACUGAGCGGCGGACGGGUGAGUAACGCGUGGGUAACCUGCCUCAUACAGGGGGAUAACAGUUAGAAAUGACUGCUAAUACCGCAUAAGCGCACGGGACCGCAUGGUCCGGUGUGAAAAACUCCGGUGGUAUGAGAUGGACCCGCGUCUGAUUAGCUUGUUGCGGGUAACGCCACCAAGCGACGAUCAGUAGCCGACCUGAGAGGGUGACCGGCACAUUGGGACUGAGACACGGGCCCAAACUCCUACGGGAGCAGCAGUGGGGAAUAUUGCACAAUGGGCAAAGCCUGAUGCAGCAACGUCCGCGU
rnacentral:rRNA from 1 species